rnacentral:rRNA from 1 species
ACGUAGGCAGCAAGCGUUGUUCGGAGUUACUGGGCGUAAAGAGUGUGUAGGCGGUUUCGUAAGUUUGGUGUGAAAUCUCCCGGCUUAACUGGGAGGGUGCGCCGAAUACUGCGAGGCUCGAGUGCCGGAGAGGUAAGCGGAAUUCCUGGUGUAGCGGUGAAAUGCGUAGAUAUCAGGAGGAACACCGGUGGUGUAGACGGCUUACUGGACGGCCACUGACGCUGAGACACGAAAGCGUGGGUAGCAAACAG